CCCGAUUCCCGGCGGUGAUCGUGUAUGUUCGGAGAAAAAUUCGGUCGUUUGACGUGAAUGACAAGAAUAACGACACGAAUGUUUCCGCGUUUGUUAGUUGUUUACUUACGUAAAAAAGCUCCAACUAAUUUGAUCAAUUAUUGCGAUUAUACUGAAUUUGUUUCUUUGUGAAAUAUUGACCAUAUUGUUGCUUAUAGUGUUUUAAAAUAAUACCUGAAAAGCUGUAUCAAUUCCAAUUUAGCGAUUUUAGCUGUAAAGAUGGACGGCCCUACUCAAAACUAUCAGAAUCAGGACCAAACUAUCAACAAAAAUUUGUGCCACUUAUGCAGUAAAAUGUUUUCUUCCAUUUCAGCAUUGAACAAACAUAUUAAAGUUAUUCAUAAGCAGCAGCUCCCAGAUAACCCAAAGUCACACAUUUCUUGUCCCUUAUGCAAAGAGACUAAGUAUUCUUGCGAGACUUAUUAAAGACUUGAAGCUCAUUUACAGGUUAAGUCAUGAUAUCAAAAUAGAGUCCUCAACUUUCCAUUUUUCCAGUGAAGAAACAUUUGAGGAAUGGUUAAGAGAGCAUAGAAUAAGCACAAACUAUGCACUUGUUCGCACAAGGAAAAUUGAAGACAAGAUUAAAAAAGUAUAUUGUUGCAAUCGAAGUGAUCUUAGAGGUAAUUUGUAGCAAUUUCAAUUGUUCAUUAUGGUAUGUGAGCAAAGGAAGGGAAGCGAUUCUGUUUUAGGUGAACUCCUCGGGCAAUGUUCUUUUAAUAAUAUUGAAGCUAGCCAUAGUCUAGAAAUUGAAACAUUUGUUAAUGAAAAGACAACUAAAAAUCAACAAGUAGCAGUACAACGAUUGAACAAGCAAUCAACAAGAGAAAUUGAAAGUGUAUCAAACUUUUUAAGAUCUUUAAAUGAUGAAACUUAUGAUAAGUGCAUGAGACAACUGACAUCAAUGAUGGAACAGAUAAAUAAUACAAAUACACAAGUAAACGAAAAAUGGACAAACAGGUUUAUUUUCCAUCAAAGAAGAAGAAGGAGCAGUAAAUAAAAAUAAUUAAAUGUAUAUUUUUUCUAUUUAUCAGUAUUUUUUUUUAUAUAAUAGUAGGUAUAUUUUUAUAGGUUUAACUAUAUAUGUAUGUAUAUGUGUAUUAUAAUUUUUUAUGUAAGUUUUAGGCAAAUAUUUGAAGUAAAUAUUUUAAGUUUCUUGCAGUUUCUUCUUAUGAGUACUAAUCGAAACUGCGAAUUGUAAAUUAGUAUUUUAGCAUAAAAUAAUUAAGUUUCUUUUCAAAUCAGUCAUAAACAUGUCUUUGCAGCAUUUAUAAAAUAAAAAUUGUUAAUAUAUGAUACAUUUAUAUAACAGUAUAACUAAUUAAAUCCGUUGUGUUUUCACUUACCAAAAUUACCUCUCUCCCUAGGUAUAAAAGUUAUUUAAAAAAAUAGGUACUUAUUUCAAAAAGAUUAAUAACAUUUAUAUAUUUAAGAUUAAAAUUAAAGUACGAUACUACAAUAUUUUAUAAAUUAUGUUUUCCAUUUAUUUAUUUUUUUCUAAAUAUACAAUACCCUAUUGUUUAAGUUGGGCUUUUCCUUUUGAUAUGUCCACAUAUAGAGAACUUAAAAAAAUAAUAGUUAUUUGUAUAACGAAAGGGAGCAAAGUGCAUAAUUUCCUUAAGUGGGUGAAGUUUGAUCCAGCAAAAGCAUCCACAGUGGGGAAAUGACACUGCUCCUACAGUGCAUAAUUUUCUACUUUCAUUCUUAUUAAUAAGCACAAUUUAAUGUAAACAUUAAUUUCAUAAAAAAUAAUAAGCAAGAUAUAGUCAAAUAAAAAAAUUCAAUUAUGCAGGGAAAUAAAAUUAAAAAUUUUCUUAUAAGGUAGUAGAAAAAUAAAUUUUUCAAAUAACACUUCCUCAAAAAUAAACUAUAGUAAUUUUAAAUAAUAUCCAAAAUCAAAUAAAUCAAUGUCCGCCCAAAGAAAUUUUUCAAAAUAUUUAUUAAAAAAAAAAUAAUUCAAUUUCCAUUCCAUUGGAUCGUUCAACCAAACUGCAUUUUUUUGAUACUUAUAUUAGGGUAUUAUGUAUAAGAUUAAUAAUUCAAUUUUCUUGUUUGCAUCCUUUAUUUAUAUUUAAUUUAUUUAAAGAAUCAAUAAUUAUUAUUAUUCCAGAAACGCUUUUUUUUAAUUUUAAUUCAAUUAUUAUUCCAUUAAUUAUUAUUUACAUUAAUUAUUCUUAUUGCCAGAAACCGUUGCUUCUAGCAGCAAACAUUGCUCUUUUGUUGGUUGCCCGCCAUUCACAUAUUUAAAUAUCCGAAUGGGACAGUCGGAGAUAGCCGAAUGAUGACGGGAAUGGGGUGCUUUUUAGUAGACGCCACUAAAAAGCACCCGAUUCCCGGCGGUGAUCGUGUAUGUUCGGAGAAAAAUUCGGUCGUUUGACGUGAAUGACAAGAAUAACGACACGAAUGUUCCCGCGUUUGUUAGUUGUUUACUUUCGUAAAAAAGCUCCAACUAAUUUGAUCAAUUAUUGCGAUUAUACUGAACUUGUUUCUUUGUGAAAUAUUGACCAUAUUGUUGCUUAUAGUGCUUUAAAAUAAUACCUGAAAAGCUGUAUUAAUUCCAAUUCAGCGAUUUUAGCUGUAAAGAUGGACGGCCCUACUCAAAACUAUUAGAAUCAGGACCAAACUAUCAACAAAAAUUUGUGCCACCUAUGCAGUAAAAUGUUUUCUUCCAUUUCAGCUAAGAACAAACAUAUUAAAGUUAUUCAUAAGCAGCAGCUCCUAGAUAACCCAAAGUCACACAUUUCUUGUCCCUUAUGCAAAGAGACUAAGUAUUCUUGUGAGACUUAUCAAAGACUUGAAGCUCAUUUACAGGUUAAGGCAUGAUAUCAAAAUAGAGUCCUCAACUUUCCAUUUUUCCAGCGAAGAAAGAUUUGAGGAAUGGUUAAGAGAGCAUAAAAUAAGCACAAACUAUGCACUUGUUCGCAUAAGGAAAAUUGAAGACAAGAUUGAAAAAUUAUAUUGUUGCAAUCGAAGCGAUUUUAGAGGUAAUUUGUAGCAAUUUCAAUUGUUCAUUAUGGUGUGUGAGCAAAGGAAGGGAAGCGAUUCUGUUUUAGGUGAACUCCUUGAGGAAUGUUCUUUCAAUAAUAUUGAAGCUAGCCAUAGUCUAGAAAUUGAAAUUGAAAGUGUAUCAAACUUUUUAAGAUCUUUAAAUGAUGAAACUUAUGAUAAGUGCAUGAGACAACUGACAUCAAUGAUGGAACAGAUAAAUAAGACAAAUGCAAGUAAACGAAAAAUGGACAAACAAGUUUAUUUUCCAUCAAAGAAGAAGAAGGAGCAGUAAAUAAAAAUAAUUCAUUGUAUAUUUUUUUCUAUUUAUCAGUAUUUUUUUUAUAUAAUAGUAGGUAUAUUUUUAUAGGUUUAACUAUAUAUGUAUGUAUAUGUGUAUUAUAAUUUUUUAUGUAAGUUUUAGGCAAAUAUUUGAAAAAACAUUACCUAUCUCAUAAGUUUCUUGCAGUUUCUUCUUAGGAGUAUUAAUCGAAACUGCGAAUUGUAAAUUAGUAUUUUAGCAUAAAAUAAUUAAGUUUAUUUUCAAAUCAGUCAUAUACAUGUCUUUGCAGCAUUUAUAAAAUAAAACUAUUUAAUAUAUGAUACAUUUAUAUAACAGUAUAACUAAUUAAA
rnacentral:misc_RNA from 1 species